AGUGAACGCUGGCGGUAGGCCUAACACAUGCAAGUCGAACGGCAGCACAGUAAGAGCUUGCUCUUACGGGUGGCGAGUGGCGGACGGGUGAGGAAUAUAUCGGAAUCUACUUUUUCGUGGGGGAUAACGUAGGGAAACUUACGCUAAUACCGCAUACGACCUACGGGUGAAAGCAGGGGAUCUUCGGACCUUGCGCGAUUGAAUGAGCCGAUGUCGGAUUAGCUAGUUGGCGGGGUAAAGGCCCACCAAGGCGACGAUCCGUAGCUGGUCUGAGAGGAUGAUCAGCCACACUGGAACGGGGACACGGUCCAGACUCCUACGGGAGGCAGCAGUGGGGAAUAUUGGACAAUGGGCGCAAGCCUGAUCCAGCCAUACCGCGUGGGUGAAGAAGGCCUUCGGGUUGUAAAGCCCUUUUGUUGGGAAAGAAAAGCAGCAGGUUAAUACCCCGCUGUUCUGACGGUACCCAAAGAAUAAGCACCGGCUAACUUCGUG
rnacentral:rRNA from 1 species